UUUGACAUCAAGUUGCUCAGCGUCAAAGUUGACGCUAGAAAAAAGUGAUGGCAAAUGGUUAUUUGUAAUACCUUCUUUAAUGACGGUGUGUAAUAGUACUAACAUAUCCUAAAUCAUUUCUAAGAAUAUUUCUCAGCAAUGUUUUGGAGGUGGAAGAAGAGCUUCAAUGGUCUAGAGAUCAUGACCAGGUGAUCAGAAUCGCUAAUCACUUUCACUUCAUCUGGUGGAUUGUUCCUGAUAAUGUAAUUCUGCACAUCCAACACUAUUGCCUGGUCUUGCCCAGACACAAUGAAUACUCUACGAACCGAUCCAUAUUUCUCCUUGGUGAGCUUUAUUACAUCAUAAUUGAAGAGAGGAGAAAAUCUUAUCAAAGAGGACACUAGCGUUUUAUCCUGUCCAUUAAUAUGUCACCAAACAAAAUGUCAAAAACAACAAGAGAAAAAAAAAAAGGGAAAAAGAAAUUAAAGUAGCAGCAACGUGGAAAGAAAUCUGCCCAUGGCCUACUUAGGCCCAUUAUUCUUCCUCCACCCUUCACCUCUUUCUCCAUUUUCAAAGACAGAUGAUUUUUCCUAUUUGUCUUCGUUUUGUUAUGAUUUUCGUCCAACCAUCACAGACUACUGCGUCUCGACAUUGGAUCUGUGUAGUUUUUACCUCUCCUCUUUUGUGAGAGUUUUUCAUCUCAAUUGUGAGAGUUUUAUUUGUAUUUUUAUGAAUUGGUUUUUUCAAGCUUUAUCUCUUUUUGUAAUUUUAGUUAGGAUGCCUAUGCCAGAGUUUCUUCGAUCUUGCGUGAUCGUUAGUAGAGGUGCACUAGAUUGUCUUAAUUUUGAUGUUAGACCGCUCUGUUAUUGUAAUGACCAUUUUGUGCCUAGUUUGUAUUAGUAUUUUGUGGCUAGUGACUUUUUUGGCUAAAUUAUGAAUGCAAUCAUAGAAUUUCUCACCAAAAAAAAAAAAAAGGUAGAAAUGUGAUCUCAGAUUCGAAUCCCCAUAAUACCUUAGUAAUGUGUUUAAUAAACCACAUUCUCCUUGUAGGUUAGACUAUUGCUUGUAUUAAAAAAAAAAAAAAGUAUAAUUUUUGAAUUAUUUUUGAGACAACUCACCUGUGCUGGGGAGAGCUGGUAAAACUUCAACGCCAAGGCCUUAGGCCCAAUAAGAAAGGAAGUUGGAGGGUUGUUGGUCCCAUUAUCGUAUCUAUAUUGAGUGUCCAAAUAGUCCAAUCUUUUAUUAACCUGUACAUUUUUCGAAAAUAUAAUUUGUUAAUAAAUAUACACAAUGGAUUUUGGUGCUGCAACUUUGGUGUGUGCUUGUGAACUCAUUACCUCUGUCAAUAUAGUCGAGUAAUUGAGAGUAGGACCAGACAUGAAAGCCGUGACGUAUACUGCAGCAGCAAUUUUCUCAGGAAAUCUCUCCAUGAAAGUAGAUAUGACUGCCCCACCCAUGCUGUGACCUACGAGGAUGAUCCUGUCCUUUGGUGGAAGAGACACCAUGAGCUUUGUCAAUGGCUCAACAUAUUGCGAGAUCGAACGAAGUUGUUGUAUCUGAAUGGGGUUGAUCCCAGAUGCUCCCAAGUCUAGGGCUGUGACAUUGUGGCCUGAAUCUUUGAGUAAAGUUGCCACCUUAUACCAAGACCAUGCUCCUAGACCAGCUCCAUGAAUCAACACAAAAUGCUUCUUCCCACUUGGGCUAGUUUGGGUUUGGUUUUGAGGGUAAUUAGAUGGCAAUGAGGUACAAAUUUUUGCCAAGCAAAUAAGUAAGAGACAAAAGAGAAAAGACUUGUUUUUCAAGUGCUCCAUUUUCCUUCUCAUUACCAUCUCCUUCCUUGGGUUUGCAUUUAUAGGAAAUAUCCUUCUUCACUAUACAAUUGGUCCCUUCACCCAAUUCGGCAUUUGAAAACGACUGAGUAAUAAUUAGGGUUCAGAAGAUUUGAGGUGUAGACUAAUAAACUUCCACGUUGCAAGCAAAGUCUUUAUUUCUAUUUACAUUUUUGGUCAAGGAGUAAACAUAUAAAUUUCCAAUCCGCAUAAUAAUAAUAAAAAAUUAUUCAACGUGCUCAUUGCCUGGACUUUUUGUACAGAAUUUGUUUCGUACACAACAUAUAUAUCUUGGAAAAUUAUUUCUUUCUAGUAGUUGCGCCCAUGGCCUUUCAAAAUGUCAUUGAGAGGCUAGCCGCUAUAUAUCGGGCUUAGACUUUUAUUGUGCUUUAUUUAUUUAUUUUCAAUUUAUCUUUUGAUGUUCAAAUUUUUUUUCUUAAAAACAAAAUAAUUGUAGGUAUAAUUCGUAUUAAGUUUUGUUGUGGUUUUUUUUUGUUAACAUACUUGUAUCCUAUCGAGUUUAUUGAAAAAAAAAAAAAAAAUCAGACAUGAUAUAUUUUCUUUAUUUAUAACCAUAAAUAAUAUAUUUUAAACCUCUGUAUGAAAUCCUUCCUACGGAGGGGAGGCCAGCGCCAGAGUAAUCAUGACUUUGGUUUACACUCAAAAGUCCUCUCAAAUCCACAAAACUCCAUCAUCUAAUAAAUUCUAGGGUUAAUCGUUUUAUUAGUCCUUAAAUUUAGAUCCGAUUUGCAUUUGAGUACCUCAAUUUUCAAAAUGGUUCCCGUGGUUCGUCAACUUCAAUUUCGUUAGGACAAAUGGUCAUAUCCUAACAAAAUUAACGACAGAACCAUUUAAUGUAUUCAUUCAUUAAUAAUUUCUCAACACAGUACAUUGAUGGUUUUUAUGCUAGCUUUGUUAAAACUUUGUGUACACGUUUUCUAACCUCUUAACCUUUGACUUCUUUAACAAAACACUAACUGUUUUGCCUAAACUGCCUAACAAUCUUAACAAUAUUUCAACAACUCUUUUCUUCAAUCUUCUAACAUGUGGCAGCAUUAGAACUGUUGAUAAACUAACUAAUAAACUUCCACGUUGCAAGCGAAGUCUUUAUUUCUACCUACAUUUCUGUUUACUCCUUGACCAAAAAUGUAUAUAGAAAUAAAGACUUCGCUUGCAACGUGGAAGUUUAUUAGUCUACACCUCAAAUCUUCUGAACCCUAAUUAUUACUCCGUCGUUUUCAAAUGCCGAAUUGGGUGAAGGGACCAAUUGUAUAGUGAAGAAGGAUAUUUCCUAUAAACGCAAACCCAAGGAAGGAGAUGGUAAUGAGAAGGAAAAUGGAGCACUUGAAAAACAAGCCUUUUCUCUUUUAUCUCUUACUUAUUUGCUUUACAAAAAUUUGUAACUCAUCGCCAUCGCCGCCACCUCCUAAUAACCCUCAAAACCAAAGCCAAACUAGCCCAAGUGGGAAGAAGCAUUUUGUGUUGAUUCAUGGGAGCAUGGUCUUGGUAUAAGGUGGCAACUUCACUCGGCUUGCAUUUUUCUAUUCAAAAGUAUCAAUUAAUUUUACAUAAUCAAGUUUUUUUUAUCUUGUCCUUUUCAAUUUCCUAAUUGAUUCAACUAGGUUAAUUGAUUUAAGCUAUAAUUUUAAAAAAUAAUUGGGUCAUUAUUGAGUUUUCUCUUUUUAAUUUUGAAUUGAGUAAUUGGGCAAAGUUUUUUUUUUGUUUGUUUACAAUGAAUGGACCUUUAUUGAGUUUCCUCUUUUUAAUUUUAAAUUGAAUAAUUAAGUAAUUUUUUUAUAUUACAAUAAUUAGUUUGCGCCUAACAUAAUAUUUAUAUAAUAUAGUUUUUUAAAAAUAAUAUUGGUUUGGGCCUAAUUUGGGGACCAUAGGCAAUUGUCUUGCCUGCUUGUGCCAAUGGCCUUUCAAAAUAAUAUUGGUUUGGGCAUAAGAGGCUAGCUGCUAUAUCGCUUAGACCUUUAUUGUGCUUUAUUUAUUUAUUUUCAUUUAUUUUCUUCUAAAAACAAAAUAAAUGUAGGUACAAUUCAACGUAACAUGAACACAUGAUGUUACACUCCACUCAAAUUUUAACAUUUAAAUUAAUUGCACCACAUAAUGAUAUUACAAUACCAUAUAAUAAUUUCCCAAAAUUGAGGAAUCUCACAAUCAUAUAACUUAUUACUUUUUCUCAUUAGAAAAUGAAAUACAAGAUUUACAUGGAGUACUUUAUGUCAUGUUAACAAGACCCUAGUGUUAAAUCAUGUCCAUUAAAACAUCAUCAAACAAAGGAAAAGCAGUAGCAAGGCAACUCUAAGCUGGAUUGAGACUCACCUCCGGUGGUGAGAGCUGGUAUAACUUUAUUGCCAAGGCCUUGGGCCCAAAAAGAAAGGACGUUGGAGUAUCUAUAUUGAGUGUCCAAGUCGUCCAAUCUUUUACCAACCUGUACAUUUUAGUUGCAAAGACAUUUUAGAAAAACCAAUUCAAAUUUAACAGCAAUUUUCUCAGGAAACCUCUCCAGGAAAAUAGAUAGGACAACCCCACUCAAGCUGUGAGCUACAAUGACGACCUUCUCCUUUGGCGGCAAAGAGGGACGGAGCCAGCAUGGGAUCAGUGUGGUCUUAGGCCCUCACUCUAUUUUUACCUAUUCUAUUUGUAUAUUAUAUAUGAUAUAUAAUAUUAUAAUAUGUUAGAUUAGUUUUAGGAUAUUUACCCUAAAAUAAAAUAAUAUAUUAGGUUCUUUUAGUCUACAAAUUAACCAUAAAUUUUUUUGAUCUCUCUUCUACUCGUUUCCCUUAAAUCUUAUAGGUUAGUUUAAGACAUUUGCACUAAAAACUCCUAAAGUUUUAACCUUUCUUCUUCUUCCUCUUUUGUUUUAAGCUUUGUGAAUUUUUUAGUUUCCUCAUUUUUUUGUGUAUGAGUUGGGUACCUUAAUAUUGUGCUUUAUGAACUCUUUAUUUUUCUAUUUCUUUUCUUUGUUGAAAUAUAAAAUUUUAAUUUUUAAAUCUUUAAUAGUGUAGAUGAUGAAAUUAGUAUGUAACCAAUUUAAAAUAUGAAAUUCAUGAUAAUUAUAAAGAGAAGACAAGUUUUUUAAAGGUCCCCUCUAAUGUGAAAUCUUGGCUCCACCACCAGGCAAAGACAUGAGCUUCGUCAAUGGCUUGACAUAUUCCGACAGCAAAGGGAGUUGUUGUAUCUGAAUUGGGUUAAUGCCAGAUGCUCCCAAGUCGGGCUGUGCAUUGUGACUUGAAUAUUUGGGCAGAGUUGUCACCUUAUACCAAGACCGUGCUCCCUAACAAUCUCCAUGGAUCAACACAAAAUGCUUCUUCCCAGUUUGGCUAAUUUGCGAUGAGGUACAAAUAUUUGCCAAGCAAAAAGGUAAAAGAAAGAACAGAAAAGACUUGGUUUUGAUGUGCUCCAUUUUCCUUCCUUUGGUUUGCAUUUGCUCUCGUCUUACUUUUCAUAGAUACUAUCCUUGUUCACUAUAAUUGGUCCCCUCACCCAAUUUGCCAUUUGAAAAUGACGAGAGAAUAAGUAGAGCACCAUCAAUAAUUAAUUGGUCCCCUACCAAAUUUGGCAUUUGAAAGAUUUGAUGUGUAGAUUAGAUCACUGUAUUCCACCUAAUUCGUAUACUUUCGGAAAAUCAUUUAAGUGCCUAACAGAUAAUCACAUAAAAAUGCUUCAAUACAUUCUUAGUAUAAGCAAGAAUCUCGUUGGCAUAAUGCUCAAUCUUUAGGCCGAGAUAAAUAUUUAUUGAACUCUUCAAGAGUUUUAACCAAGUAUUAACUCUUCUGGAGUUUUGAUCAAUUAUCAACUCUUCAGGAGUUGUAAUGUGUUGCAACCAUAUCAUAAUUAAUGUACUCACUGAGGCAAUUUAUACAUAUUAGUAUUGAGUACAAAAUUUGUGCUUCAGGCACAUGUCGUUUAGGUACUUGCUUUAUGCAAUUUCAAUCAUUCAAGGAUUUUAUUUGAGGGAUUACACUUUAUGACACAUUAUAAAGCUUUAACCCAACUAUUUAUACAUCUUUAGGGAAUCGCUUCUAGCAAUAUGCUCUGUACAUUUAAUAACCCUUAAAGAUAACAUGUUGGUCUUUGUAAAUGUGCAAUAAGGAGGCAAGAUUGCAUCUGUAAAUAUGGAGAAACUCAAUAUUCCUUGUUUCUGCCAAAAACAUUGUGUCAUACAAAGUGGGUAUAUUCCUUUUUAUUCCGAACACCCAAGUAUAUGUGAGAAUCCUUAUUUUUAAAAAUAUUAAUAUUUUAUUACUUUGAUAAGUAUUAAAAUAUAAUUAUAAUUGUUAUAUAUAUAGUUUUACGUAAGAAAUAUUUAUCUGAUUCUACUACAUAUAUCCUAUUCUAUUAUAUAUGUGUGUGUAUAUAUAUACAGAGAGCUUCCAUUGAGGGAUCCCUCAAAUAAUUUUAUUUGAGGGACACCCUUUAGGGUACCCUACAAUUCUUUUCCCAAUAAUCCAAACCAUCUAUUUUUUAGGUAUUCAUUCAUAGAUCAUCCUUACAAAAAAUUAGACAAAUCGGAAACCGUUUCGACAUCCAAUUGUGUCUUACAAAAUCAAUGAACACGGUGCUUUAAGAAAAGUACUAAAAUUUCAAUAACUCAAUUGAGUGGUCACAUGAUAUCGGAUUCAAGUGAUUUUUUGUAGAGAUGAUCUUUGAAUGAGUAUCUACAAAAUAGACGUUUGGAUUAGUGAAAUACAAUCCGGAGUGAGGCCUACAAGGGGUGUCCCUCAAAUAAGCUUAUUUGAGGGAUCCCUCAAUGGAAGCUCUCUGAUAUAUAUAUAUACUUUACUUGGGUAAAAAGUACAUAAACCGCCAAUGGUAGCCGACCUAUCCUUUAUACAUAUAUGUUAUGUUGUAUUUGAAUUAAGAUUAAGUAGCAAGUAAAGUUAAAGUAGCCUUUUACUACUAGCUGACAUCAGUUUAGCAUAAGGAGGCAAGUUAGUUUUCAUUUUAUCAACACCUGCAUCCACAUGCAAGUAUAAAAACAUUAAAUAGAGUAGAUAUUCUUCCCUGGAGAAUAAGUAGGCAAGUUCUCCUUUUUGUUUAAACCUAUCCAUAGUGGUUGCCAAAUAAGCACUAGUAAGAACCGACAUUCUCUAAGUAUAAAUAGGCCCUCUAUUGUUGUUGAAAACACUAGAUAAUAACCUUGUGUAAUAUUAGAGGUUACACACAGGUAGGGUUUCUUAGAGGGCCUAUUACACAGAGAUUGAUUUAAUUAAAUUUCGUGAGCAUUAUAUUAUGCGUGGUACUGUUUGAUUGACGUUCCUUGUAUUGAGUGUUUACGUACUCUUAAUAUUUGAACAAUGUUGGCAUAAUUAUAUAUGCAUUGGUGAUAUUUUAAAUGGCUACAUUGUUGUGAAGGGCAUAAUUAUAUCAUGUCAUGGAAUUUGGCUAGAAUUCUGGGAUUGAGAAAAUAAUGGUGGAAAAGAGGGUAAUGGAAAUAAUCUUUUGUGUAGUUGAGUCUAACUCUUGGCAUGUACCAGGUCUCAGGGAUCCCACAGUGCACAUGGUUUUUAUUGGGUGAUUCGGGAGUGGCGACAGGGAGUUAGACAAGAUGACUUACAAAAUGGGGAAUUAUGGGAUGAUUAAGAUGGGUGUUAAUUCAUAUAAAUGGACAUUCGGGACCAAGUGGUAUAAGCCUGGUAUGGGACGUGUAGGUCUGCUUGUCUAGUUAUAUGAAUUAACGGGAUUAGAUGUAGAGCAUUCAUGCAUUAUUAUUAAUAAUGUGAUAUUUGGUUGUAUAAUUGUAUGUCACUUAAUUUAGUUAUAUCAAUUUCCUGUAAAAAAAAAGGUUUAUGUCCCUAUUGAGCUGUGGUUUUGCUCACCCCUAAUAGAUUUUGUAGGUACCGAACCUGAAAUCUAGAGCUUGUGAUGAUUUGGGCAUAUCUAUAGAGUGCAUUAUGUACAUAGCUUGUGGAUGAAUAAUGAGCUAUUCUUUUAGUGAACUCUCGAGUAGUUCUAACUUGUAAAAUAAUGUAAUUUUUUUAAGGUUUCAGAUGUUGUCAUUUCCACUGAAUAUUCUAUGUGAAAUAUUUAUUUUAUUUAUUUAAAUGUUUCUUCACAUUUUAGUUAUAGUUUUUAUUAAAAUCUAUAAUUAAGGUGUGAAUCACGUCUUAACCCAAGGUUGGGGCGUGACAAUAUAACUUUCAGUAUUAACAUCUUUUGAGGUUCGUACUAUGAGUUUGUUCUUUCACGUUCAUUCUCGUCUACAAUGGAAUUGCCUCUUUCCAUUUUGGCCAAUGAUAUUGUCGACAUUUAAUAAUAGAAUGUGGUUCCAAUCAACACAGCCCAUUGAUGAUUUGAGUAGCUACUCCAAAAUCAAAAAAAUUGUCAUUCAUCAAUUCAUGAUCCCACCAUUCUCAUGCGCAUGCAUAAAUUAUAAGUAUUUAUGUGCUUUUGGGUAUCCAAGCCACUUCAGGGGAUUUUAUUGUCUCUUUCCAGCCAGACAUCUCUUAUAGGACGAAUUAUGUGAGAAUGUGGAUCAUAACCUCUAGUGGAGCGUUAUUUUGCAGUGGGCGGUGGAUGAGUCCAUUCAGGGAGUUGGAACAUUUAGAACUCAUUUAUCUGCAUGUUGCAGGCAUGCCACAAAUUAAUAUACACAUGUCAAUGAAUUGUUCUUCUAGGACUUUAAACCAGAUAAUUUGCUAAACAUUAGGCGUGCACCGUAUUAAUAUUGACAUGUAAAUGGAUUGUCCUUCCGGGAUUUCAAUCCAUAUCAUUUGCUACACAACAGGCGUGCAUCAUAUUGAUCACUGCUAUACCCAUGUUCUAUUCUUAUGGGACUUUAAUCUAUGCAGUGUAUCAUUAAUGUAUCGAACUUGCAAUCUGUGAGAUUUGCAUUAAUAAUUCAUGAAUACAUAUUAGAAUGAUACAAGCAAUUCUUUUGGAAUGGUCAUAAUACAGGUCGUUCUUCUAGAACGAUCUAUUAAGCAAGUCAUUCUUCUGGAAUUGCCUUAUCUCCCCAUUUGGUUACCUUUAAGGAUGUCGUACAAAAUAUCAAAAUAAGAGUACAAGCAUGAAAUAACACAAUUAGUGCUUACAUCCUUAGGUGGGAGAAACUUUGCUUAAGUAUCAUUCAAGCUUGUAUCGGCCCAACAAAUAUAAUGUAACUCUUGAUGAUCUAGUUAUAUCCUGCAAGAGCAAAAAUCACAAUUCUUCUAUCUUUAGGAUCACUACAUGGAUUCUUUCUUCAGAUGUUCGUUCCAAAGAAAUCAAAUCCCUUAUGAAUAGAGAGUUAUAAAAAGAAAAAAAAGAUACAAAGAAUUGUGAUAUUGAUUGCAAGGUAAGGUAAGCAAUCAAGGAAGGAAGCUGGUGAGGUAACAGACAAAAACUCUUAUUUCUCUUAGCCUAGAAGAGUUUUAGGAGAUCAGAGCAUGUGGUCAUCCUUAGAGUUCCCUGAUCUAGCAGAAAUAUGAUCACGGAUAGUCUUGCUUCCUGAAUGGAUGAUCAGAGAUAGUCUCACUUCUCAAGCACAUCGAGUGCUCACUGAUAGGAAAAAUAGGUGGAUAUUGCACACUAGAUAUGGAGAAAACUGGAGAAAACUAGAUGUAUUAUGCAAAGAAAAUUUCGUUAGUAACAUAUUUAUACAUAAAUGAGAAGAAUAGUUAGGUCCAGUGAAUCUCAAAUUAACUAUAGAAAAUUUGCGAGAUUCUCAGGGUGCUUUUGAAAAGUAGCUCCGUUAAAUCCGCAAAACAAGAUCGGCUUUGACGAAAUAAUUCUUGAAAAUGCCUACACUGCCGACAGACAUUAAUGGAGGCCCCAUGAAGUUUUGGAGUCUGGGAAAAGGAAAAAGAGAAUAUGGGGAUCCGAGAACAUAUUGGGAUCCUGAAAAUGGUGCCACAUUUUCGUUUAUAGAUACUGCCUUUGCAAGGCCUAAUUGGAGUAACUGCGUUUCAACUCAACUUCUCCAUUUUUUGAAAUACAGCUUUUCGAAGACUUUCCUCGAAACCUUCUAAAAAUGGCUCCCCCAAAGCAUAUUGAUUUGAAUGUUGCUCCCAAAACAACUUGUGACGCCAAAGUUUGGCAUCCAUCCUUUGUAUCCCAAAAUCGUCAUCUCACGGUUAAUGAUUUUGUGAUGAUGAAUGAUACGACUGCUGUCAUAGUAGCUAGGAAUUUCCUUACUCCUAUAGAUGAAAUUCUAUUAACAGGAAGGCCUGACGAAUAGGCUAUUGAUGACAAUGGCUUUUAGCAUUCAAAGUGUUGCUUCUGUUUCUAAUAUGGCUGAUCAUUUGCGUGCCAGAGCAAAUGAGAUUCGGGAGUUGAACAUUGAAAAUUCGUCUCUUCAGAGAAUGCUUCAUAGGUCUCAGCAGGAGGCUGAGAAACUUAAAGAGGAAAAUAAGGCCUUGUUGAAACUGGUGAGUUCAUACUCCAUUGAUACGCAUACAAGGCUUGACAUGCUGCAGAUUUCCAAUGAAAAAAUUUUAGGAGACCACGAGAGGCUCAUGGCUAAGCUUAAGAGGCAUCGUCCUCUACCUUCAGAGGCUUCCUGAACAUAAUGUAAUUUUAUAAAUUUUACAAAGGCUGCUUUUCCUUGCAGGUGAAAAGAAUCUAUCUAUUGUAUGCUCAUUUCCUAUUAUAAUAAUUGGGCAAAUUCUUAAACUUGCACCUUUGGUUUUCACGUCUUUUCAAAAUGACGGUUUGGAAUCUUGUGCCUUAUAGGUUCAAAUAAACACAUCAAAUAUCUCAAAUUACAUAUUUCAACGCAUGUGAGUCCGGAACUUCUGGCCCGGGCUAAACACAACCUCAGAAUUUAUUUACCUUUUUCAAAUAGGCAUGAAAUAUGAAUUGAGGAAAAGUCAUGAUAUUAUUGCAAUAUAAUAGUGAAGAGCAUUAACUAAUAUAUACCCAAAACUUCAGGUUCGGGACUUUUCAUAUAUUGGGAUCCAUGGGCUUUCGGCCCUAAUCAAAUAAUAUGACAAAAUAUGUGGGGAGCCUCAAUUCAUCCUUUGAGGUUUAUCCUGAUGUCAUUCAAUGGAAUUCAGAACAUAUAUUUCUUCCUUGAGGUGUCAGUUGUAACAUAAUCGAACUUUAUUAAAUUCCUUAUUUUCUUAUGCCAAAGAAAUAUGUGGUGUACCACAAUUUGCAAUAAUACCUCAAGGGUUGUCUAUUUAAUUAUUGAAACUUCAGGUUCUCAAUACUGUUAGAUUUUGAAUUCCAGGCCAAAAUCACAUAUUCUCAUGACAUGGACAUUUUUAUAAUUUCCCGUACAUAUUUCGGGACUUCAGACCCUUACAUAAGUGUCCAUAUUUUUGAGGAAUUUUUGACAUCUCAUUUAAUUGUUCAUCCAUGAGUUUAAGGAACUGCAGGUUCCCUUUUGUAUAUAGUUACGAUUUACCCAAAAUGGUUAAUAUUUAUGCAUACGUCACUAUUCAUGUAUACGAUACUAUUCAUCAAGUCAUGAAUACUUCUACUCAUGUGUACAGUACAUUUGUCAGUAUAGUUAUUAUUCAUGUGUACGGCACUUUUGACCAAUACGGUAUUGUUACAUCAUCGAGGAACUCCAGGUUCUUAUUUACAUGUCAAGGAUCAAGGAUCUUCAGGUCCGAUCACUUGUUUACAAAUAUAGUACCGGAGAGAUUGCCAGCUGUCAUAUCAUUAUCAUCAUCAAGGAUCUUUAGGUCCUGAUGUAAUUAUAUGAUAAGGAUCAAGGAACUUCUGGUCAUGAUCUUUAUAUGCUGUAAAAACUCAUCAUAUCACAUAAUUAAUGUAACACCCCGACCCCAAAUUUCCCCAAAUUUAAUCCUUAUUUAAUUAUUUAAUUAUUUAAGGGUAUUUUAGUCAUAUUUUUAACCGGAGAGAGUUUGGGACCGCGACUUGUAUUUUUGGAUAGGUCGUACUGAGACGAGUUCACAGACACGUAGUGGGCUCGAAUCGGAGUUGUAACGAGAGAGAUAUGGUCAAAAGAAGCCCAGUGGCAUAAUCGUAAAUAUUUCGAAAUGGGAUUUUUUAUAAAAUCUGGUUUUCCUCUCUCUCUCUCUCUCUCUCUCUCUCUCUCUCUCUCUCUCUCUCUCUCUCCCGCGACUCCUCUCUCUCUCUCUCCCGUCGGCCUCUCCUCUCCUCUCUCUCUCUUCGUAACUCCGGCCACCGGCCGCGGCUGCGGACGGGGCCGGUGUCAAAAGAACCGGCUCGACCUCGGCGUCACGACUCAGCCCAUCCCCGCCAUCGGCCGCCGCUCCAGCAGCCGGAAAAUGGCGAUUUUCGCCCGGAGGUCGCCGGAACUUCAACGCCGUCGAUCUCCCUCCUCCGGCCACCAAUUCCGUCGACCCAGGUAUGGAUUUUGAACCUCUCGAGCUGCUCUAGCUGAUGGUUGGGUAGGAUUAGAUCGAUUCUUAGCGUAGGCAACUCAAUUUUCGAAUUGAAAAUCGGCCAAAACUUCGACCGCCGUGAUCGGCCAUUUCCGGCCACUUUUUGGGGUAGGUCCAAGAACAAAAGUGGCUCCAAAUAGGGUGUUAUACCUAGGGUAGGAGUUUGGAGCCGUGGUUUUGAGAUUUUCCGGCGAAGCGUUAUCGCUUUGGGCACCCACGCGCUGCCGGCGUGUGCGGUGGCGCGUGGGCACUGUAGAAAAGUAGCACUGUGUUCCGAUGAGAUUCUUAGGUUGUCACGAGUGUGUAGGAUUUCGCGGAUCUCAAUUCGGACGUCGUUUGACUAUCGAACGGAUAUUCGCAUAUUGCGCGUUAUCCGGGUUCGAUAGGUUGGGAUAGUUGGAUGGUCCCAAAUUUAAUAUAUGUUGAUCUAGAUAUUUCUAGGAUCGUGUAGGAUUUUACGGAUCGUGAAUCGGAGCCCCGGAUGUUCCGAAUAAUAAUUUUAAAGUUUAUAUUUUAUAUUAACCGUCAGAUCGUGCGAUCGUGAGAAAUCCGACCGUCCGAUCUGAACCAAACUUGCAGGACAAGUGUCCUAUACCUGGUAGAACCCAUAGAGACUUUCGGAUCGAAAAUUGGAGGUCGUGGGUUCUGCAGGUCCGGUUGACCAGGGUUAGAGUAGUUUGACCCUUGGUUGACCGUUAGUCUCCCGGAGUAAUCUCACCUUUUUAAGGGGGGAUUAUCGGGUGCUAGACCAUUGUGGAGGAUUACACAAUAUUAGAAUUUAUUUAUAUAAUAAUAAUAAUUUAUGGUUGUACAAGGGUACAACAGAGUCUAGAAUGUCAGUUUGGAGUGCUAUACGCACUACUUUAGAUACCUCCCCGGAUGUUGGAAUUACUACAAAUACCACCAAGUGAAAGUUAGGUCCCACGUGGCGUAGGUUAUCCGGUGUUGGGACAGGCCCCAUACGUGGCGUUGGUUGUACCGGCGUAUGGGGAGAGAUGUGAUAUGUUGUUCAGGUCUCACGUGGCGUAGGUUAUCCGGCGUUGAGACAGGCCCCGUACGUGGCGUUGGUUGUACCGGCGUACGGGGAGAUUAUGUGAUAUUGUGUUGAGGUCGCACGUGGCGUAGGUUAUCCGGCGUGUCGACAGACCCCAUACGUGGCGUUGGUUGUACCGGCGUAUGGGGAGAUUUGCGAUAUGAUGUUGAGGUCCUGCGUGGCGUAGGUUAUCCGGCGUUGGGACAGGCCCCAUACGUGGCGUUGGUUGUAUCGGCGUAUGGGGAGAUAUGAUGAUAAUAUGGCAUGGUCGCACGUGGCAUAGGUUAUCCGGCGUGUUGACAGGCCCCAUACGUGGCGUUGGUUGUACCGGCGUAUGGGGAGAUUAUAUGUAAUACAAAGAAAUGAAAUAAGGUAUCGCCCAAGUGUGGAAUUGAGUUUUUAGGGAAGAACUAUGUGUGGCUUGAUCCCUCAAGGAGGGUACGUAGGCAGCCUAAGGUUAUUAGGUGCAGCCGCAGACUAAAUGUUAGUUAUAAUUUGUAUUUGAAUUGUUUGGUAGUUGGUUAAGAAUUAUUGGAAGGCUGAAAGCCAUUUGUGUGAAUUGCAUGAAAUUAUAUUGUGCAUGCUGCCAGUUGGGAAUAUUAAAUGUGUUUUCAUGCAGGUAUAAAUUUUGGGAAAUGUCCAAUUUAUAGGGGAGACUCUGCCGAAAUUUCGGCAGGAAGUCUCGGUUUUUAGUAAGUGGGCCUGGCAUCGGGGUGAUGUCAGGAAUUCUAAAGGGUUCGUCUCGGGUUUUGAGAAAAUUCGGGGCGGGUCCUUUCAGUUGGUAUCAGAGCUCUAGGUUCAAUUCCCUGUGGACCCUGCACUUUAUGUGCAUCCUUAAAUUGUGGGGAUCAAAAUGGGUUCCAUCUCGGAAUGGUACAUUUGCGACGUUGAGAACGUCACAAAAGUCAAAUUAUUUCACAGAGGAAAGAUACAUAGGCCGCCGGAACAUAGGAAGGGCUGGAGCUUUACCACAGACAGUGGUUGUUUCAGAUGUUCCGGAAGAUUGCGACUAGAAGCCGAAAGUUUGCAUAGGGUAACACCUGUACUUAGGGUACAGUUGGAUGUUCCUAUGACAAAGUUGGUCAUGCGUCCGCAUAAGCGGGAGGAUAUGGAGUUGAUCAACCUGCUUCUAGGGAUCCUCCAUUGCCUGAACAUGUUGCUAAUUUUCGACUGUGUGCCUAGAGCACCGAGUCGAAGAUACUAAGAGCACAACCUUUGUCUAGGAGGAGCAACUCCUUGACAUUGGAUCAAGAGAUCCAAGAUUUGAAAGGUGGCGUUAGAAUAAUCGAAAUCACAAGUGUCUCUUACAGAAAGAGGCUCGUGUGUGGUAGGAAUACUGUGGUCAAAUCCAAGGAUGAGACCCAGAUGGAUUGAGUAAUCCUACCUAUGGAGAUGGAGAGAGUACUUUGGGGUCUCUUCUCACGUGAGCACGUUUGAGUAGAGAUCUUUCAUUGGAAUCAGAAAUGGAUCAUGGUCGAGAGAGAUCGACGAUGAGUACAAUUCGGUAACAAUGAUCCUUUCUGACAUUUCUCUCAAAGAAUCAUGUUGGCAAAUUAAAGGGAGAAGUGGUGGAGUUGGGUGGAAUCGUACUUCAUUCGCGUGAGCUUGAAUGCCGCGAUUGACAGGAGUGGAACAUUAGGGUUCUUCCUCCUUGCUCUCUCACGCGAGCUCGCCAUAGUUAGAGAAGGAGACUUCUCUUGCUCUGUUUGCGUAGCUAGAGCUUUUGGCUUGGUUGCCAACGCGGUUGUGGAGAAAGAAUUUGGGGAACCCGAGUGGUAGAUGCGGGCCCCAUGCGCACAACCCUUCGAGUGAUAGGUAGGAAAUUUCGAGGACGAAAUUUUUAUAAGGGGGGUAGUCUGUAACACCCCGACCCCAAAUUUCUCCAAAUUUAACCCUUAUUUAAUUAUUUAAUUAUUUAAGGGUAUUUUAGUCAUAUUUUUAACCGGAGAGAGUUUGGGACCGCGACUUGUAUUUUUGGAUAAGUCGUACUGAGACGAGUUCACAGACACGUAAUGGGCUCGAAUCGAAGUUGUAACGAGAGAGAUAUGGUCAAAAGAAGCCCAGUGGCAUAAUCGUAAAUAUUUUGAAAUGGAAUUUUUUUAUAAAAUCUGGUUUUCCUCUCUCUCUCUCUCUCUCUCUCUCUCUCUCUCUCUCCCGCGACUCCUCUCUCUCUCUAACGUCGGCCUCUCCUCUCUCUCUCUCUUCGUAACUCCGGCCACCGGCCGCGGCUGCGGACGGGGCCGGUGUCAAAAGAACCGGCUCGACCUCGGCGUCACGACCCAGCCCAUCCCCGCCAUCGGCCGCCGCUCCAGCCGCCGGAAAAUGGCGAUUUUCGCCCGGAUGUCGCCAGAACUUCAACGCCGUCAAUCUCCCUCCUCCGGCCACCAAUUCCGUCAACCCAGGUAUGGAUUUUGAACCUCUCGAGCUGCUCUAGCUGAUGGUUGGGUAGGAUUAGAUCGAUUCUUAGCGUAGGCAACUCAAUUUUUGAAUUGAAAAUCGGCCGAAACUUCGGCCGCCGUGAUCGGCCAUUUCUGGCCACUUUUUGGGGUAGGUCCAAGAACAAAAGUGGCUCCAAAUAGGGUGUUAUACCUAGGGUAGGAGUUUGGAGCCGUUGUUUUGAGAUUUUCCGGCGAAGCGUUAUCGCUUUGGGCACCCACGCGCUGCCGGCGCGUGCGGCGGCGCGUGGGCACUGUAGAAAAGUAGCACUGUGUUCCGAUGAGAUCCUUAGGUUGUCACGAGUGCGUAGGAUUUCGCGGAUCUCAAUUCGGACGUCGUUUGACUAUCGAACGGAUAUUCGCAUAUUGCGCGUUAUCCGGGUUCGAUAGGUUGGGACCGUUGGAUGGUCCCAAAUUUAAUGUAUGUUGAUCUAGAUAUUUCUAGGAUCGUGUAGGAUUUUACGGAUCGUGAAUCGGAGCCCCGGAUGUUCCGAAUAAUAAUUUCAAAGUUUAUAUUCUAUAUUAACCGUCAGAUCGUGCGAUCGUGAGAAAUCCGACCGUCCGAUCUGAACCAAACUUGCAGGACAAGUGUCCUAUACCUGGUAGAACCCAUAGAGACUUUCGGAUCGGAAAUUGGAGGUCGUGGGUUCUGCAGGUCCGGUUGACCAGGGUUAGAGUAUUUUGACCCUUGGUUGACCGUUAGUCUCCCGGAGUAAUCUCACCUUUUUAAGGGGGGAUUAUCGGGUGCUAGACCAUUGUGGAGGAUCACACAAUAUUAGAAUUUAUUUAUAUAAUAAUAAUUAUUUAUGGUUGUACAAGGGUACAACAGAGUCGAGAAUGUCAGUUUGGAGUGCUAUACGCACUACUUUAGGUACCUCCCCGGAUGUUGGAAUUACUACAAAUACCACCAAGUGAAAGUUAGGUCCCACGUGGCGUAGGUUAUUCGGUGUUGGGACAGGCCCCAUACGUGGCGUUGGUUGUACCGGCGUAUGGGGAGAGAUGUGAUAUGUUGUUCAGGUCUCACGUGGCGUAGGUUAUCCGGCGUUGAGACAGGCCCCGUACGUGGCGUUGGUUGUACCGGCGUACGGGGAGAUUAUGUGAUAUUGUGUUGAGGUCGCACGUGGCGUAGGUUAUCCGGCGUGUCGACAGACCCCAUACGUGACGUUGGUUGUACCGGCGUAUGGGGAGAUUUGCGAUAUGAUGUUGAGGUCCUGCGUGGCGUAGGUUAUUCGGCGUUGGGACAGGCCCCAUACGUGGCGUUGGUUGUACCGGCGUAUGGGGAGAUAUGAUGAUAAUAUGGCAUGGUCGCACGUGGCGUAGGUUAUCCGGCGUGUUGACAGGCCCCAUACGUGGCGUUGGUUGUACCGGCGUAUGGGGAGAUUAUAUGUAAUACAAAGAAAUGAAAUAAGGUAUCGCCCAAGUGUGGAAUUGGGUUUUUAGGGAAGAACUACGUGUGGCUUGAUCCCUCAAGGAGGGUACGUAGGCAGCCUAAGGUUAUUAGGUGCAGCCGCAGACUAAAUGUUAGUUAUAAUUUGUAUUUGAAUUGUUUGGUAGUUGGUUAAGAAUUAUUGGAAGGCCGAAGGCCAUUUGUGUGAAUUGCAUGAAAUUAUAUUGUGCAUGCUGCCAGUUGGGAAUAUUAAAUGUGUUUUCAUGCAGGUAUAAAUUUUGGGAAAUGUCCAAUUUAUAGGGGAGACUCUGCCGAAAUUUCGGCAGGAAGUCUCGGUUUUUAGUAAGUGGGCCUGGCAUCGGGGUGAUGUCAGGAAUUCUAAAGGGUUCGUCUCGGGUUUUGAGAAAAUUCGGGGCGGGUCCUUUCAAUUAAUUCAUAAAAUAAAUUGCUUGUAAAUAAAUUGCUGGUAUGUAUGAUAAUCCUGCACCAUACUUUAAAUAAAUGUAAAUGUACGGUAAAGUAAAUUCAUAAAUUAAAUUGCCUCAUGUAUGAACGUUAAUCUCGCACCAUACUUUAAAUAAUAAAGUAAACGUGCGGGUAUGAGCACUAAUUCAACUCCAUACUUUUAAAUAAAAGGCAGUUGUGUGGACGAUAACCCGCGCCACACCUUUAAAUAAAUAUUGUUGUAUGGGUAAUAAACUUACACCAUACAGUAAAUAAAGUAAAUACGGGGAUAAAAUCACCACUAAAAAUUAUAGGAGGUGAAACCAUCCAUUAAAGGCACAAUAAUAAAAUUAGUAUACACCAUUAACUUUUUCAUAAUAAUAUUAUAUAUUGUGGGAAAUAUAAUUGCGUCACUAUUCAAGAUAUAAUAAAAUGGGUUUUAAGAUCACACCAUCCUUUUUUGUUACGUUAAUAUGUGUUACAAUGUGAUGGGUAAUGAAAAUUACACCACCAUAAAAUAACAGGAUGAUGUAUAAUACCGCACCACUCCAAAUUACAAUACGAAAAAAUAAAUUAAACAAACAUGGAUGAAACAACAUAAAAAUUGUGAGAAUACAAAAAAGAAAGUUUGCAUGUUGUCGUAGUAGUAAAGUGAGAGGAGACAUAUGAUAGAGAGGAGACAGAGAAAUAACCACAUAGUCUUGAGCUAGAAAAUUUAGAAGUAAAAAGGAGAGACUAUCGUGCUGAUAACGUGUUGUAAAAUAAACGGGAUAUGGGAGAAUAUUGAGCUGCACGUAAAUUAAAUAAAACACAAUAUUUAACGAGGUUCGGCCUUGCCUACGUCCUCGGAGAGCAACAACAGUAACUUUUCACUAUGUAAAAUAAUAGAGAUACACUUUAGUGUUUACAAUAUAUGUGGCUCACUUAUAUUUCCCUCUUGGAGAAUUUCUCUCUGCUAUCUUUUUCUCUCAACUCACUCACCCUCUUUCUUUCCUUCUCUUCUUUCUUUUCUUCCUUUCUCUCCUCUUUGCCUGGGCUCUCUCUUCCUUCUCUGAUGGUUGGUGUGUCAUCUUACAAUAAAGGGAGGAAGUUCAUUUAUAGGCAAAGCCUCUUUGCUUCCUUUGGAUGUGAAUCAUUUCUUCCAAUAUAUGGAUGCCACUUCUUCAACAUUCUUCAUUAUUUCUAAAUAUGUGAACUCCACUCUUGACUUUACAACAUAAACAAGAUUUACAUGUAGUAUUUUAUGUCACGUUCACAAGAGAUGAUACAACUAUAGUUAAAAGGAUCUUCAAUCGAGAAGUUAAAUCCAUGGUGGAUCUUCCAGCUCUUUUUUUUAGUUUAUUUAUUGAAAUUUAUAACUUCAACCAAACUAUUUAAAUUCAUGAUAAAUUUGACAUCAAGUUGCUCAGCGUCAAAGUUGACGCUAGAAAAAAGCGAUGGCAAAUGUUUAUUUGUAAUACCUUUUUUAAUGACGGUGUGUAAUAGUAGUAACAUGUCCUAAAUCAUUUCUAAGAAUAUUUCUCAGCAAUGUUUUGGAGGUGGAAGAAGAGCUUCAAUGGUCUAGAGAUCAUGACCACGUGAUCAGAAUCGCUAAUCACUUUCACUUCAUCUGGUGGAUUGUUCCUGAUAAUGUAAUUCUGCACAUCCAACACUAUUGCCCGGUCUUGCCCAGACACAACGAAUACUCUACGAACCGAUCCAUAUUUCUCCUUGGUGAGCUUUAUUACAUCAUAAUUGAAGAGAGGAGAAAAUCUUAUCAAAGAGAACACUAGCGUUUUAUCCUGUUCAUUA
rnacentral:lncRNA from 1 species